AAAGCUCGUAGUCGAACUUCGGCCUUUGCUGGUCGGUCCGCCUUUUGGUGUGUACUGAUCUAGCGAAGGCUUACCUCUUGGUGAACUGCGAUGCCCUUUAUUGGGUGUUGUAGGGAACCAAGACUUUUACUUUGAAAAAAUUAGAGUGUUCAAAGCAGGCCUACGCCCGAAUACAUUAGCAUGGAAUAAUAGAAUAGGACGCGCACUCCUAUUUUGUUGGUUUCUAGGAGCGCCGUAAUGAUUAAUAGGGAUAGUUGGGGGCAUUUGUAUUACAGCGUCAGAGGUGAAAUUCUUGGAUUGCUGUAAGACAAACUACUGCGAAAGCAUUUGCCAAGGAUGUUUUCAUUGAUCAAGAACGAAGGUUAGGGGAUCAAAAACGAUCAGAUACCGUUGUAGUCUUAACAGUAAACUAUGCCGACUGGGGAUCGGACAAGGCUUUAUCAUGACUUGUUCGG
rnacentral:rRNA from 1 species